UACGAAGGGGGCUAGCGUUGCUCGGAAUCACUGGGCGUAAAGCGCACGUAGGCGGCCAACUAAGUCAGACGUGAAAUCCCUCGGCUUAACCGGGGAACUGCGUCUGAUACUGGAUGGCUAGAGUUUGGGAGAGGGAUGCGGAAUUCCAGGUGUAGCGGUGAAAUGCGUAGAUAUCUGGAGGAACACCGGUGGCGAAGGCGGCAUCCUGGACCAACACUGACGCUGAGGAGCGAAAGCCAGGGGAGCAAACGGG
rnacentral:rRNA from 1 species